rnacentral:rRNA from 1 species
AUUGAACGCUGGCGGCAGGCCUAACACAUGCAAGUCGAACGAGCGGCGGACGGGUGAGUAAUGUAUGGGGAUCUGCCUGAUAGAGGGGGAUAACUACUGGAAACGGUGGCUAAUACCGCAUACCAUCGGAUGUACCCAUAUGGGAUUAGCUAGUAGGUGGGGUAAAGGGUCACAUAGGCGACGAUCCCUAGCUGGUCUGAGAGGAUGACCAGCCACACUGGAACUGAGACACGGCCCAGACUCCGACGGGAGGCAGCAGUGGGGAAUAUUGCACAAUGGGAGCAAGCCUGAUGCAGCCAUGCCGCGUGUAUGAAGAAGGCCUUAGGGUUGUAAAGUACUUUCAGCGGGGAGGCGUUACCCGCAGAAGAAGCACCGGCUAACUCCGUGCCAGCAGCCGCGGUAAUUC